UAGCACUUGCUAAAAAUAAUGUCGAAACUGGACUGGCUUAGUAGUUUCUUUUAAGCGAAAAGUCGGUAGACAAAAUAAGAA
rnacentral:ncRNA from 1 species